AGUCGUCAGGAUGCGCCGUUUGGUGUGCGGAGAAAAGACGCUGCCGAAGGUGACUGCGAAGGCAUCACGCAGGAGGCGGGGUCACGCCAGCAGGAGGAUAAGGCGACUUGGAGGCGGGGCCCGGCGUGGAAAGCGAGAGCGCGACUGUCAGACAUGCGGACUCCGGCGCGGUGAUGGAUGAUGUUAUCAGGUGACCACAGAUGACUC